rnacentral:lncRNA from 1 species
UGGAAGCCCAAGUUGGGAUUAAGAUCGUUCCACACAGUAAAAAGCAAAGAACCCCUCUGGGUACUUACUCAGGCAGGAGGCAAGGCGGACGCUGUAACCCCAGUACAAACCGGACACCGUGCGAGGGUGGUGCGAAGACACCACAGUGCCUUUUCGUACUUUAGUUUCUGAAAGGGAAGCAAAGAGAUGAACAACUCCAACGAUCACCUGAGAAGAGCUGAAUCUGACCAGCCACAUCCUGAGGUUUCUCCUGUGUUAAGGCAUUGAUUUGUUGCACAGCCAAGAGCCACUCUUUUGGUGCCUUCUGGAAAGCGAGCGUGCUUGCGCUACUUGUUGUUGGUCAAAGAGCUGACAGUUCUUUCCAAUAAGCUAGGAGCUAUGGUGAGGGUGUUACUAAAUUGUGCGUGUAGUAAAGGGAGCACAGUGGAGAAUCCUCAAGUAUUAGUAAUCUGAAGGCUGUCACACAGAAGGACCAACUGCAGCAGGAGUUGAGGUCACAGAUGCUAAUGGAGCAGUAAUUACCUGGAUUCUGUGGUUCCUGCAGGCGCACAGUGACACGCAGACCAGGCUUCAGCUGUUUGUCAAUCUGUACCUCCUGCAGAGACAGUCACCAGCAGUGUUAGGAGAGCCUGGAGGUACUGAGGAAGGUUGGGAGAAGAAAGGGUGGGGACUAUUCUGGCCUAGAGCUGAGCUGGAAUGAGGAGCUCUGCAAUCAGGGUCUGUGCUGAGCAAGUUCACAGUGGUUGGGUCAUCAGCCUGAGGCUUAUUUUGCUGCUCAGAGGUUCAAACCCAGCACAAAGCAGUAACAUGCUGGAAUGGGCCUGCCAGGACUGGGGAAGCCAUGAACAACCCGUAACAGCCAUGAACAAGGCAGCAACAGCGUUAAACCCCAUCCCAGCCUUCUAUGAAGCAGGAUGCUCAGAAAUCCAGCAGUACCUGUAACCCACUGCACCUGUUUCAAACAGGACAGAGGGCCAGGGUAAGUUGUUUUGGGAUCUGCAGGCUACACGCUGCCAUACCUUCUUCAUCCCACAGUUGACAAAUGAGCCUCUGCCUGGCUUGCUUGGCCGAUCUAACACCACACCUUCUCGGUACUCAGAAUCCUCAUCCACCCGCAUGUGGUGGGGGCUGUCCAGUGGGUUGAGGAGCCCUGGAACAGUGCACAGGAAAGCAACAGCUAAGGACAGAAUACGGACUAUGGGAACACAGGUGUAAGUACAGCUGCUCUGCUUCUUCCUCCCUCUCUUCUCCAGUGGAGCACAGUAUCUCACCUGUGCUACAUGGCAGGGAAAAGACUUUAAGUUGUAUGUAUUCUGUGCAAAAUGAGAGCCAGAGCUUGUGGAAGGGGAGUCAACAGCUUGGGACAAGGAGAACUGAAUCAUUACCUGCAAACUGCAGAUCCCCAUGUUUUGGAAAAAAUGAUUUCCUCAAGUACCUGUUAUUAGAGAAGGUUCAAAUGUAAAAAUUGUCAGUUCAAGCUUUGUACUAUUUCAAAAGAAGUCAAGAACAGAGAAAACCAUGCUUAGUUCCCCCAAGUCCCUCCUGUUCUUUCAGUUAAACUGAACCACACGUGAAGUAAUCAGAUCCUGUGUUCCUGCAAAUCAUGGAACACACACACAAUUUAUCUCCUGCUCCCAGAGCCUCCAGCAUGAGAGAUGCAUGCAAAUCAUCAGUUGCUAUCAUUUUAGUUCUGCCACUAAUAAGAUAUUCAAUCUGAUCACGGUGGACUUACUGAGGGCACUCCAAGUACUGCAGUAUCCGAGCCAGCUGCACACAAGCCUUGCCUCUCUUCCCAAUUCCUUCAAAUUCCCCUUCCACGCUCCUGAAAGAGAGAACAGUCUGAACUCAGUACAACACUGCACAGCCCCAAAGGUCAGGUCUCCAGAAGACCAAGCCCUUCUCUUAAUCUAAGACUGGCAGCUCCCUCCACCCUCAACCUCUACAGAAAUAAAUGGGCUACCUUAGAAAAGGGCUGCUCCAGAGGUACGGAUUAUUAACAAGUUCUACUUGGAACUCCCCAAGUCAAAGAUCUUACUCGGGUUUUUUUUGUUGUUGUCAUUUUUAAUCUUUAUGUAUCUGUUUUUAGAUACAACCUGACAGUUGGAUUCUACAGCACUGCAGUGCUUGGCCAGCGAAGGCAGGCACAGGCCCAGAUGAGAAGUCAAAGGAACAGGUGUCAUCCCUUCAGAGCAUCCCCAUCUUCCCUGUAUCCCAGCCUCCAGCACAGCUAAAAAAAAGACCGAAGGAGCGCAGAGGAGAAGCUUUCUGCAGACCAAAACAGCUCAUCCCUACUUUGCAUCUUCUCCAUGCUCGUCGAACACCACGAUCUCAUCCACGCAGAAGAUGGCACACGCUCGAGCGAUCUGCCCGGCCAGGUACGUCCGCAGCUCCAGCGACUGCGCGUUGUUCAGGAUGGAGCCCGGCAGGGCCACGCUCAGCGUGUAGUGCCGCCCUGGGGACAGAGGGCGGACAGCAGGGCUGCGGCCUGACGGCUGUGUGUGGCACUCACGGACCCUUCCACCUCAGCCCCCUCAGCAGCUGCACCUUUGUCCUCCUCCUCCUGCUGCUGCUGCUCCUCCUCAGCCUGUUUCUCGGCCAGCUCCCGCACCCGCUGCUUUUCCAGCUUCUUCAGCAGGUUCAGCUCCUUCCAUUUCUUCUUCUCUGCUUUCCCUGGCACGGACACAAAGCCCCUCCGGUUAAGGGCCGAGCCGGGAGCGCUCAGGGCAGGCAGCACCGGGCCCCACUGGGCCCCCCCACAGCUCCGCUCCCCUCCACGACCCCGAGGGACCCUCGGCCUUACUCUCCUGCUUCCAGCGCCGCCAGUUCACCUUCCUGUCCUCAACCUGCGGGCACAGCGGCCGUUACCCUCGCGCUCCCCUUAAGGAGCCGUAACCAUAGCGACCGCCCCGCGCCUCACCUGCACGCCUUUCGGCCGCUUCGCCUCGCUGCCGUCCGCCAUCUUCUCCCCCACGUUUCUUGGCCACGCCCCUCCACUGUUGUGAUUGGUCCGAGGGUGCCGGUUCCUGCCUAAGAUAGGCUGGAGCCGAUGUCACGUGAACCAAUGGCUGGGCAGAGGGCGGUGCAGUUGGCGGUGUUAAAUCCCCCGCGCGGCCUGGUGAGCUAAGCAGGGUGCUGUGUGUUGUGCACGAGGAUGGGUGACCGCAGGGAGGUACUGCUGAGCUGCAGCCAACACCGAAGUGCUGCAGCACUGCUGCCGUGGGACGUGGUGCAGGUGUUACCCAGCGAAUGGCUGGCAGCUCUC